rnacentral:rRNA from 1 species
GGGUUGUGAGGUUAAGCGACUAAGCGUACACGGUGGAUGCCCUGGCAGUCAGAGGCGAUGAAGGACGUGCUAAUCUGCGAUAAGCGUCGGUAAGGUGAUAUGAACCGUUAUAACCGGCGAUUUCCGAAUGGGGAAACCCAGUGUGUUUCGACACACUAUCAUUAACUGAAUCCAUAGGUUAAUGAGGCGAACCGGGGGAACUGAAACAUCUAAGUACCCCGAGGAAAAGAAAUCAACCGAGAUUCCCCCAGUAGCGGCGAGCGAACGGGGAGCAGCCCAGAGCCUGAAUCAGUGUGUGUGUUAGUGGAAGCGUCUGGAAAGGCGCGCGAUACAGGGUGACAGCCCCGUACACAAAAAUGCACAUGCUGUGAGCUCGAUGAGUAGGGCGGGACACGUGGUAUCCUGUCUGAAUAUGGGGGGACCAUCCUCCAAGGCUAAAUACUCCUGACUGACCGAUAGUGAACCAGUACCGUGAGGGAAAGGCGAAAAGAACCCCGGCGAGGGGAGUGAAAAAGAACCUGAAACCGUGUACGUACAAGCAGUGGGAGCACGCUUAGGCGUGUGACUGCGUACCUUUUGUAUAAUGGGUCAGCGACUUAUAUUCUGUAGCAAGGUUAACCGAAUAGGGGAGCCGAAGGGAAACCGAGUCUUAACUGGGCGUUAAGUUGCAGGGUAUAGACCCGAAACCCGGUGAUCUAGCCAUGGGCAGGUUGAAGGUUGGGUAACACUAACUGGAGGACCGAACCGACUAAUGUUGAAAAAUUAGCGGAUGACUUGUGGCUGGGGGUGAAAGGCCAAUCAAACCGGGAGAUAGCUGGUUCUCCCCGAAAGCUAUUUAGGUAGCGCCUCGUGAAUUCAUCUCCGGGGGUAGAGCACUGUUUCGGCAAGGGGGUCAUCCCGACUUACCAACCCGAUGCAAACUGCGAAUACCGGAGAAUGUUAUCACGGGAGACACACGGCGGGUGCUAACGUCCGUCGUGAAGAGGGAAACAACCCAGACCGCCAGCUAAGGUCCCAAAGUCAUGGUUAAGUGGGAAACGAUGUGGGAAGGCCCAGACAGCCAGGAUGUUGGCUUAGAAGCAGCCAUCAUUUAAAGAAAGCGUAAUAGCUCACUGGUCGAGUCGGCCUGCGCGGAAGAUGUAACGGGGCUAAACCAUGCACCGAAGCUGCGGCAGCGACGCUUAUGCGUUGUUGGGUAGGGGAGCGUUCUGUAAGCCUGUGAAGGUGUGUUGUGAGGCAUGCUGGAGGUAUCAGAAGUGCGAAUGCUGACAUAAGUAACGAUAAAGCGGGUGAAAAGCCCGCUCGCCGGAAGACCAAGGGUUCCUGUCCAACGUUAAUCGGGGCAGGGUGAGUCGACCCCUAAGGCGAGGCCGAAAGGCGUAGUCGAUGGGAAACAGGUUAAUAUUCCUGUACUUGGUGUUACUGCGAAGGGGGGACGGAGAAGGCUAUGUUGGCCGGGCGACGGUUGUCCCGGUUUAAGCGUGUAGGCUGGUUUUCCAGGCAAAUCCGGAAAAUCAAGGCUGAGGCGUGAUGACGAGGCACUACGGUGCUGAAGCAACAAAUGCCCUGCUUCCAGGAAAAGCCUCUAAGCAUCAGGUAACAUCAAAUCGUACCCCAAACCGACACAGGUGGUCAGGUAGAGAAUACCAAGGCGCUUGAGAGAACUCGGGUGAAGGAACUAGGCAAAAUGGUGCCGUAACUUCGGGAGAAGGCACGCUGAUAUGUAGGUGAAGUCCCUCGCGGAUGGAGCUGAAAUCAGUCGAAGAUACCAGCUGGCUGCAACUGUUUAUUAAAAACACAGCACUGUGCAAACACGAAAGUGGACGUAUACGGUGUGACGCCUGCCCGGUGCCGGAAGGUUAAUUGAUGGGGUCAGCGCAAGCGAAGCUCUUGAUCGAAGCCCCGGUAAACGGCGGCCGUAACUAUAACGGUCCUAAGGUAGCGAAAUUCCUUGUCGGGUAAGUUCCGACCUGCACGAAUGGCGUAAUGAUGGCCAGGCUGUCUCCACCCGAGACUCAGUGAAAUUGAACUCGCUGUGAAGAUGCAGUGUACCCGCGGCAAGACGGAAAGACCCCGUGAACCUUUACUAUAGCUUGACACUGAACAUUGAGCCUUGAUGUGUAGGAUAGGUGGGAGGCUUAGAAGUGUGGACGCCAGUCUGCAUGGAGCCGACCUUGAAAUACCACCCUUUAAUGUUUGAUGUUCUAACGUUGACCCGUAAUCCGGGUUGCGGACAGUGUCUGGUGGGUAGUUUGACUGGGGCGGUCUCCUCCUAAAGAGUAACGGAGGAGCACGAAGGUUGGCUAAUCCUGGUCGGACAUCAGGAGGUUAGUGCAAUGGCAUAAGCCAGCUUGACUGCGAGCGUGACGGCGCGAGCAGGUGCGAAAGCAGGUCAUAGUGAUCCGGUGGUUCUGAAUGGAAGGGCCAUCGCUCAACGGAUAAAAGGUACUCCGGGGAUAACAGGCUGAUACCGCCCAAGAGUUCAUAUCGACGGCGGUGUUUGGCACCUCGAUGUCGGCUCAUCACAUCCUGGGGCUGAAGUAGGUCCCAAGGGUAUGGCUGUUCGCCAUUUAAAGUGGUACGCGAGCUGGGUUUAGAACGUCGUGAGACAGUUCGGUCCCUAUCUGCCGUGGGCGCUGGAGAACUGAGGGGGGCUGCUCCUAGUACGAGAGGACCGGAGUGGACGCAUCACUGGUGUUCGGGUUGUCAUGCCAAUGGCACUGCCCGGUAGCUAAAUGCGGAAGAGAUAAGUGCUGAAAGCAUCUAAGCACGAAACUUGCCCCGAGAUGAGUUCUCCCUGACCCUUUAAGGGUCCUGAAGGAACGUUGAAGACGACGACGUUGAUAGGCCGGGUGUGUAAGCGCAGCGAUGCGUUGAGCUAACCGGUACUAAUGAACCGUGAGGCUUAACCUUACAACGCCGAAG